rfam:Salmo salar isolate Sally breed double haploid chromosome ssa04, whole genome shotgun sequence.
UGGCUCAGUUGGUAGAGCUUGGUGUUUGCAACGCCAGGGUUGUGGGUUCGAUUCCCAC